rnacentral:rRNA from 1 species
CUUCCAGACUCCUACGGGAGGCAGCAGUGAGGAAUAUUGGUCAAUGGGCGAGAGCCUGAACCAGCCAAGUCGCGUGAGGGAGUACUGCCCUAUGGGUUGUAAACCUCUUUUGUCGGGGAGCAAAAGCCGGCCGUGUCCGGCUGUGAGAGUACCCGAAGAAAAAGCAUCGGCUAACUCCGUGCCAGCAGCCGCGGUAAUACGGAGGAUGCGAGCGUUAUCCGGAUUUAUUGGGUUUAAAGGGUGCGCAGGCGGAUUUUUAAGUCAGCGGGCAAAUCGGGGGGCUCAACCCCCUCCAGCCGUUGAAACUGGGGGUCUAGAGUGUGCGAGAGGUAUGCGGAAUGCGUGGUGUAGCGGUGAAAUGCAUAGAUAUCGCGCAGAACCCCGAUUGCGAAGGCAGCAUGCCGGUGCACAACUGACGCUCAGGCACGAAAGCGUGGGUAUCGAACAGGAUUAGAUACCCUAGUAAA